ensembl:lncRNA
UUAGAAUCAUAGGAGUUUUAAUCUUCAUUAUUACCAUCAAUAUCAUCAUCACAAUCAUCAUGUUCAUCACCAUCAUUAUCAUCAUCAUCAUCACAAUCAUCUUCAUCACCAUCAUCUUCAUCAUUAUCACAAUCAUCAUCAUCUUCAUCAUUAGCGAUAUCAAUUAUAGUCUUCAUCAUCAUCGGUUACAUUCUCAUCGUUUCUGUUUAUUAAAUACUUGUAUAGCAUUUAGUUUCUUUUUUUAAUAAUAUGUAUCAUCCAUUUCAAUGUUUUUUUACAUAAGAAUAAAGUUUAGAAUAAAUAAAGAAUAAAGAAUAAAGUUCAGGAGAAGAAUUAACAGCAUCAGACUGGGAGAGACAGAAAGAAAGAGGUGGUGGUGGUGGUGAUGAUGAUGGAGAGAGAGGUGGUGGUGGUGAUGAUGAUGGAGAGAGAGGUGGUGGUGGUGAUGAUGAUGAUGAUGGAGAGAGAGGUGGUGGUGGUGGUGGUGAUGAUGAUGAUGGAGAGAGAGGUGGUGGUGGUGGUGAUGAUGAUGAUGGAGAGAGAGGUGGUGGUGGUGGUGGUGAUGAUGAUGAUGGAGAGAGAGGUAGUGGUGGUGGUGGUGGUGAUGAUGAUGAUGAUGAUGGAGAGAGAGGUGGUGGUGGUGGUGGUGAUGAUGAUGGAGAGAGAGGUGGUGGUGGUGGUGGUGAUGAUGAUGAUGGAGAGAGAGGUAGUGGUGGUGGUGGUGGUGAUGAUGAUGGAGAGAGAGGUGGUGGUGGUGAUGAUGAUGAUGGAGAGAGAGGUGGUGGUGGUGGUGGUGAUGAUGAUGGAGAGAGAGGUGGUGGUGGUGAUGAUGAUGAUGGAGAGAGAGGUGGUGGUGGUGGUGGUGGUGAUGAUGGAGAGAGAGGUGGUGGUGGUGGUGAUGAUGGAGAGAGAGGUGGUGGUGGUGGUGAUGAUGAUGAUGGAGAGAGAGGUAUUGGUGGUGGUGGUGAUGAUGAUGGAGAGAGAGAUGGUGGUGGUGGUGAUGAUGGAGAGAGAGGUAGUGGUGGUGGUGGUGAUGAUGAUGGAGAGAGAGGUGGUGGUGGUGGUGGUGAUGAUGAUGGAGAGAGAGGUGGUGGUGGUGGUGGUGAUGAUGAUGGAGAGAGAGGUGGUGGUGGUGGUGGUGAUGAUGAUGGAGAGAGAGGUGGUGGUGGUGGUGAUGAUGAUGAUGGAGAGAGAGGUGGUGGUGGUGGUGAUGAUGAUGAUGGAGAGAGAGGUGGUGGUGGUGAUGAUGAUGAUGGAGAGAGAGGUGGUGGUGGUGAUGAUGAUGGAGAGAGAGAGGUGGUGGUGGUGAUGAUGAUGAUGGAGAGAGAGGUGGUGGUGGUGGUGAUGAUGAUGAUGGAGAGAGAGGUGGUGGUGGUGGUGGUGAUGAUGAUGAUGGAGAGAGAGGUGGUGGUGGUGGUGAUGAUGAUGAUGGAGAGAGAGGUGGUGGUGGUGAUGAUGAUGAUGAAGAGAGAGGUGGUGGUGGUGAUGAUGAUGAUGGAGAGAGAGGUGGUGGUGGUGAUGAUGAUGAUGGAGAGAGGGGUGGUGGUGGUGGUGGACAGGAACAGUUUGAUGUUGAACACCUGGCCUGACAGGAACAGUUUGAUGUUGAACACCUGGCCUGACAGGAACAGUUUGAUG